UACGUAGGGUGCAAGCGUUGUCCGGAAUUAUUGGGCGUAAAGAGCUCGUAGGCGGUCUGUCGCGCGGCUGUGAAAACCCGAGGCUCAACCUCGGGCCUGCAGUCGAUACGGGGCAAACUAGAGUACUGCAGGGGAGACUGGAAUUCCUGGGUGUAGCGGUGAAAUGCGCAGAUAUCAGGAGGAACACCGGUGGCGAAGGCGACUUACUGGACACAUA
rnacentral:rRNA from 1 species